UACGGGGGGAGCAAGCGUUGUUCGGAUUUACUGGGCGUAAAGGGCGCGUAGGCGGCCAGCACAAGUCAGUUGUGAAAUCUCCGGGCUUAACUCGGAAAGGUCAACUGAUACUGUGCGGCUAGAGUACGGAAGAGGCGAGUGGAAUUCCCGGUGUAGCGGUGAAAUGCGCAGAUAUCAGGAGGAACACCGGUGGCGAAGGCGGCCCACUGGAUCGGUACUGACGCUGAGGUGCGAAAGCGUGGGGAGCAAACGGG
rnacentral:rRNA from 1 species